AUUGAACGCUGGCGGCAGGCUUAACACAUGCAAGUCGAGCGGAGAUGAGGUGCUUGCACCUUAUCUUAGCGGCGGACGGGUGAGUAAUGCUUAGGAAUCUGCCUAUUAGUGGGGGACAACAUUCCGAAAGGAAUGCUAAUACCGCAUACGCCAUACGGGGGAAAGCAGGGGAUCUUCGGACCUCGCGCUAAUAGAGGAGCCUAAGUCGGAUGAGCUAGUUGGUGGGGUAAAGGCCUACCAAGGCGACGAUCUGUAGCGGGUCUGAGAGGAUGAUCCGCCACACUGGGACUGAGACACGGCCCAGACUCCUACGGGAGGCAGCAGUGGGGAAUAUUGGACAAUGGGCGGAAGCCUGAUCCAGCCAUGCCGCGUGUGUGAAGAAGGCCUUUUGGUUGUAAAGCACUUUAAGCGAGGAGGAGGCUACCUGGAUUAAUACUCUAGGAUAGUGGACGUUACUCGCAGAAUAAGCACCGGCUAACUCUGUGCCAGCAGCCGCCGUAACAC
rnacentral:rRNA from 1 species